rnacentral:lncRNA from 1 species
CAGUAAACGUUCCAGCAGAGUAAAAUGGCCUUGGAUACAUUGGGAGGAAGAUUCUUAUCGGACUCCUUUAUGUUCUGUAGAAAUGACUUACACUUGAGUCGGAUGUAGCAGGUCACAUAAGGCUUCCGUUGCUGAUCUGAUCUGGGCUCUGACCUCUGACCCUCCAAGUCGGCACCUGCAUUCCACACACUGAGAGAGGAGAAGAUGGACUGAAUCAGGAGAAUCAACUAAAACACUGAUUACCAGCCCUACCACGGUGAGGAGAGAGAGUUAGCAUACCACCCUACCACCUGAGAGAGAAGUUAGCAUUACCAGCCCUACCACCGUGUGAGGAGAAGAGUUAGCAUUACCAGCCCUACCACACGUGUGAGGAGAGAGAGGUUAGCAUUACCAGCCCUACCACCGAGAGAAGAGAGUUAGCAUUACCAGCCCUACCACCACAAGAAGAGUUACAUUACCAGCCUACCACGUGAGGAGAGAGAGUUAGCAUUACACAGCCACCACCGUGUGAGGAGAGUAGUUAGCAUUACCAGCCCUACCACCGUGUGAGGAGAGAGAGUUAGCAUUACCAGCCCUACCACCGUGUGAGGAGAGAGAGUUAGCAUUACCAGCCCUACCACCAGAGAGAGUUAGCAUUACCAGCCCUACCACCACAGAGAAAGAGAGUUAGCAUUACCACCGACCACGUUAGGAGAAUAGCACACCCGCCCUACCACCGUGUGAGAGAGAGAGUUAGCACUACCAGCCCACCCCGUGUGAGAGAGAGAGUUAGCACUACCAGCCCUACCACCGUGUGAGGAGAGAGAGUUAGCACUACCAGCCCUACCACCACAGAAAGAGAGUUAGCAUUACCAGCCCUACCACCACAGAGAAGAGAGUUAGCAUUACCAGCCCUACCACCAAGAGAAAGGAGUUAGCUUACCAGCCCACCACCACAGAGA